UCUCCUGGAAAACGGGUGGUAAUGCCGGAUGCUCCAGUUGACCGCAUGGUCCUCUGGGAAAGCUUUUGCGGUAUGGGAUGGGGUCGCGUCCUAUCAGCUUGAUGGCGGGGUAACGGCCCACCAUGGCUUCGACGGGUAGCCGGCCUGAGAGGGCGACCGGCCACAUUGGGACUGAGAUACGGCCCAGACUCCUACGGGAGGCAGCAGUGGGGAAUAUUGCACAAUGGGCGCAAGCCUGAUGCAGCGACGCCGCGUGCGGGAUGACGGCCUUCGGGUUGUAAACCGCUUUUGACUGGGAGCAAGCCCUUCGGGGUGAGUGUACCUUUCGAAUAAGCACCGGCUAACUACGUGCCAGCAGCCGCGGUAAUACGUAGGGUGCAAGCGUUAUCCGGAAUUAUUGGGCGUAAAGGGCUCGUAGGCGGUUCGUCGCGUCCGGUGUGAAAGUCCAUCGCUUAACGGUGGAUCCGCGCCGGGUACGGGCGGGCUUGAGUGCGGUAGGGGAGACUGGAAUUCCCGGUGUAACGGUGGAAUGUGUAGAUAUCG
rnacentral:rRNA from 1 species